rnacentral:tRNA from 2 species
UUUUAUCUGGGUUGCUAACUCAAUGGUAGAGUACUCGGC